AGCAUAAGCUUUCCCUUGUCAACAUUUUUCCUACAUGUUCAUGAGUCUGUGGAUGUGAACAAAGCACUAGGAGAAGCAAAGGUCACGAAUAACUGGCGGCGAUGCAAGGAACCCAGCUAUUUAGUGGUCGAAGUGACUUUAGAAUCACUACCUUGAAAUUCCAUCCAAAAGACCACAACAUCUUUUUAUGUGGAGGCUUCAGUUCUGAAAUGAAAGCUUGGGAUAUAAGGACUGGCAAGGUGAUGAGAAGCUACAAGGCGACCAUCCAGCAGACCUUGGACAUCCUGUUCCUCCGGGAAGGCUCCGAGUUCCUGAGCAGCACAGAUGCUUCCACCCGGGACUCGGCUGACCGCACCAUUAUUGCCUGGGAUUUCCGGACCUCUGCCAAAAUCUCCAACCAGAUUUUUCACGAGAGGUUCACCUGCCCCAGCCUCGCCUUGCACCCGAGAGAGCCUGUGUUCCUGGCACAGACCAAUGGCAACUACCUGGCCCUUUUCUCCACUGUGUGGCCCUACCGGAUGAGCAGACGGCGGCGCUAUGAAGGGCACAAGGUGGAGGGCUACUCAGUGGGCUGCGAGUGCUCCCCAGGCGGUGACUUGCUGGUGACGGGCAGCGCCGAUGGCCGGGUCCUGAUGUACAGCUUCCGCACAGCCAGCCGAGCAUGCACACUGCAGGGGCACACACAGGCCUGUGUCGGCACCACCUACCACCCCGUGCUGCCCUCCGUCCUCGCCACCUG
rnacentral:sRNA from 1 species